rnacentral:rRNA from 1 species
UGCGUAGGUGGAUCAAUAAGUUGGAAUUUAAAUCCCGCAGCCUAACUGCGGACCUGGUUCCAAAACUGUUGGUCUUGAGUUCGAAAGAGGGGAGUGGAAUUCCUAGUGUAGCGGUGGAAUGCGUAGAUAUUAGGAGGAACACCAGUGGCGAAGGCGGCUCUCUGGUUCGAUACUGACACUAAGGCACGAAAGCGUGGGGAGCAAACAGGAUUAGAUACCCUGGUAGUCC